UUGCCACGUACCAUCCUGCUUUGGAAUGA
rnacentral:sRNA from 1 species